UCACCAGAGUCUAACAGUACCACAAAGAAAGAUUCAACCAGCACCACGACGACAACGCAGCUUCCGGUUCUAGACGAUGUCGACUAUGAGGAGGAGAAAGAAGCCGCGGACAAAAAUGCGCAGGCGGCCGUCGCUACCGGCGCCACAAUCGUUGGUGUCGUCGGGUUGACUGUGGUCGGCAUCAGCAUCGCGGCUUCAGUAGCUGCCACCCAGGCAGCGGUGGUCUUAGCGCCAGCCACUGUCGCCGCCACUACUACAGCCGCGACGGCGUUUGGCGGGAUAACGGGAGUUACGGGCGCAAAUCUCGGCGCGUCGCUGACCGUACCGAUGGGUAUGUCAGUGGUCUGACGGGACGCGGCUAAAUUCGGCCGAGGAUUAACUCGGAUGACUGUAGCUGUUAAUAGAGCUUUUGAACUGAAUAAUAUAAUAUUGUGAAGAUUCAUUUAUUAAAAUGUUAUGCACUUUAAAAAAAAGUAAAUUGGAGUGUAGCUAGUAAAUAAAUUAUGUCCGGUGAUUCUUCUUCUUUUUUUUCAAUCAAGGCUGUAUCAUAGAAAAUGUAUUAUGUUAAUAAUAUUUGCCUUUAUAUCAGUAUCCUUCAUAAAUUCUACUUCUAUUAUUAUGGUUAUUAUUAUCAAUAGUUUUAAUUCGUAUAAGUAUUGUUGUUAUUGUUGUUGUUGUUGUUAUUGUUGUUGUUGUUGUUAAUAUCAUUAUAUUAUACUAUAAUUAUCGCUUUAAAAUUGUUAUUCUACAAAAAUGUUCGCUUCUUCAUUGAAGAGAUGUAGCAACGUGUUGUUAAACUUAACUGUUGAAACGAAUUUGUAUUGCUUAUUUUAUUGUUAUUGCAAUCAUUUGUUUUAUUGUUUCGAAAAUGUGUCCAAGCUCGUGUGUGUUAGAAUGUCGUAAGCAUUUCUAUUCAUAAAUCUUGCUUUUAUCGUGCAAGUGCAUUGGCUCACCUAUUUGUGUACAAUGUCUCUUUUGUUUAAUUAAGUCCAACUAUCAUAUCUAUAUUUUGGAAGAUGCAGUUAUUCAGAUUUGUUUUAAACACCUUUUCAAUUAUAAACACAUUUUUGAACAGUCUUGAAUGUACGAAAAGCGGAAAAGUAACAUAUCGUAUUUUAAGUAUUUUUCUUUCAACACUUGUUUACAGAUUCCCUUGCAAUGUAAAACCAUUAAAUAUAGGGAACAA